UACGGAGGGUGCAAGCGUUAAUCGGAAUUACUGGGCGUAAAGCGCACGCAGGUGGCUGAGUCAGUCGAUUGUGAAAGCCCUGGGCUUAACCUGGGAAUUGCAGUCGAUACUACUCAGCUAGAGUAUGGGAGAGGGCAGUGGAAUUCCCGGUGUAGCGGUGAAAUGCGUAGAUACUGGGAGGAACACCAGUGGCGAAGGCGGCUACCUGGACCGGUUCUGACGCUGAGGCGCGAAAGCGUGGGUAGCAAACAGG
rnacentral:rRNA from 1 species